rnacentral:rRNA from 1 species
UACGGAGGAUGCGAGCGUUAUCCGGAUUUAUUGGGUUUAAAGGGUGCGUAGGCGGACUGUCAAGUCAGCGGUAAAAUACGGGGGCUCAACCUCCGCCCGCCGUUGAAACUGACGGUCUUGAGUGGGCGAGAAGUAUGCGGAAUGCGUGGUGUAGCGGUGAAAUGCAUAGAUAUCACGCAGAACUCCGAUUGCGAAGGCAGCAUACCGGCGCCCAACUGGCGCUGAAGCACGAAAGCGUGGGUAUCGAACAGG